CAGUCGCCGCGGUAAUACAGAGGGUGCGAGCGUUAAUCGGAUUUACUGGGCGUAAAGCGUGCGUAGGCGGCCUUUUAAGUCGGAUGUGAAAUCCCUGAGCUUAACUUAGGAAUUGCAUUCGAUACUGGGAAGCUAGAGUAUGGGAGAGGAUGGUAGAAUUCCAGGUGUAGCGGUGAAAUGCGUAGAGAUCUGGAGGAAUACCGAUGGCGAAGGCAGCCAUCUGGCCUAAUACUGACGCUGAGGUACGAAAGCAUGGGGAGCAAACAGGAUUAGAUACCCCGGUAGUCCCUGUCUCUUAUAC
rnacentral:rRNA from 1 species